rnacentral:misc_RNA from 1 species
AUUGAAUAGCUCAACAAUCAUCUU